rnacentral:lncRNA from 1 species
GUAGGCGCCGGGGGUGACGGGGGAAGCCUGGCACACUAGAAGGCCGCGCACUACGGCGAAGGGCUUAGGUCCGGUCCGGUCCGCACGCGUCGGUCGCAGAAAGGGAAGGGGCAACCCGCGAAGGGGAAUUUGCACUAAACCGUUACAAGUAUGCUGUCACGGGUUGUGACCACAAGACACAGCACACGCCAAACGAGCUCUGGUACCUUGAUGCAACCAGGCUGUGGAGUCAGAGUUGGCCACGAAUGUUCGGGCAAGGAGCCAGCUAAGCACAGGCUUGGUGCGACCUAGUUGUGAGGGGGGGCGGCUACCGCUAGCGUCUCUGGCUGCUUAGUCGUAGACGUAGGCUUCCUAAGGCAGGUGCUGUGCAGCUGUGGGAGUCGACCUGGAAUGUUCGUCAGGCCCCUAGAUUGACUAGUGUUGCGGAACUAAUGCGUACGUAGACCAGAGCGGAAGGCGGAGUGGGCUUGCAGGCGGCACGAGAGUAGGCAGUCAGUAGCGCAAGUUGUGAAUUCACAUGUUACCUCGUAACCGACGGUAAACGCUGUGGACGUUCGCGCCCAUGGCUGGCUGACGGAAGGUGGCUGCUGUAUUGGGAUGGCUGGGCUGGACGACGGCGGCCGGGCUGGCGUCGGGACUACCAGAAAGGAUGCGCGCGAAAACCAACCUAGAGAACACCAGCGCCACCGGUGCCCAGCACGACAUGUAUGGGAGGGAGGGAGGGAGGCACAGGAGGCGUGAUGCACGGCAGCGUAGAUAUCGCUAGGUAACUACAUCGUGGCGGGCGCGCCAGACCUUUCACCGACCUCGUCAACUACCCAAAACGUCGCUCGAUGGUGGGUGUGCUAAACCACUUCUUCAAACAUUCUAGGCUAGCCCAAGGCGCCACUAGAAACAUCGAGCGAGUCCGGAAACUAACGCUAGGUGGUCUACACAGGGUCCAAACAUCAUAAUGCUCGGUAGCUAAGUCCAGAAGCUUCGUCCGAACAUUGUACAAUCCAUCUAGAGCCAGCAUUGGCAGUCUACUUGCCCCUGGCGGCCUUGCCCCUGGCGGCCUUGCCAGCCUUCGCGACCGGAGCCUUGGCAGCCUUGCCCUCAGUACCUGGUCGAUCCCGAUCGUUUUCCGAUGGCGGGGUGAGCUUGUCUCACUCCUCCUUAAGACACGCGGGCACCUGUGCCCUGCGUAGAUAUUAUUAUUAUUAUUUCCACUGCAACGGUCUCGUUCUGUAUUUGCUCCGGUGUUAUAAGACUGUAUUGAUAAGGCUGAGGUAGACCAGAGAGUUAUCGAGAUAAGGAGGAGAAAUCGAGACUAAUCGAGGAUGCGGAAGCGUAGCGGAAUGUUACGGGGAAGGUACCAAGCACGGGAACCACCUGCGUGUCAACGGCUGACACGAAACCCGCCUAAGCCGUGCCUUCAGUCAACCCGGAGAAGGGCUGGAGAGAGAGGGGGGAAAGGAGCCGUGCUGCCAAGCUGGGGUUAGCUGGUCUUAGGCACUAAGGCUGGCGCGCAGGGGCGCGAGGGGAAACCAAGGGAGGCUGGCGCACAAGGGCGCAAAGGGAAGCCACGGAGAAGCUGGCGCACAGUGGCGCAAGGGGCAAAAGGGCCAAGUAAGCCAAGCAUAUGACUUACAGAAGGGAGACAGGGGUCGGGAUCGACCAGGUACUCAGAGCGUGUGUCUGGUAUGAACAGCCUAGCCCAAACUCCGCCUUAUAUAGCCCCCUAGCGGGGUCAAUGUACGGCAUGGCACGUGCACAGGCUCGCCGCGGCCAUGCAACCCCGCACGUGCCCCAGGCACACUGCACGCGCACACCGCAACCUUCAUGCAUGCGACCACCACAUCGUCCACAAAUACAUGGGUUAACCUAGUAUACAACUCAUCAUAUCGCGCAAAUCCAUGCGGACCGGGCACUCUACCUCACGUGGAGGCGAAACACACACGCCACGCACCGUGGCACCCCCUUCAACCCCCGCGUCCUGACGCUUAGCGCGUGACCCCCACGUAUGCUCACCACAUCCAGCUCAAGUCUGUGGCGACAAAAGAUGUACUUCGUAAAUUCGCGGCUGACCCAUCUUUGCUACUGCAGAGGAAAGAGUAGAUAGUGCCGCACUGCAACAGGUUCCUGCUUUCCCCAAUCCCCGCCAGUGCGGGUGUGUGUCCCAUGCCCCCUCGGGUAGCCCAGGUUCGCCAACACCGCCCCUUCCACCAAGGGCCCACGGUCCAGCAAGGAUUCCGUCUCGAGCAUGGCGAGCCCAAGCCACUACGUAUAGCUUCCAGCGGCGCCGAGACGUGAGUCGCGGCGCUGCUCGUCCAAGUUCCAUCGACCAAGACCAAUCAAGAUCCAAGGCCACUAAGGAUCAGCAAAAUAUGAUAAAUAGUAUUGAGCGAGAUAAUGAGCAUAGCAUCGGCAUUAGGCCGCGUUGAGUCAGUUGAUCUGGUAGUUCGCGAUCGAAGUUUCCGGACUUGCUCGAUGUUUCUAGUGGCGCCCUGGGCUAGCCUAGAAUCUUCGAAGACUUUGUUUAGCACACCCACCAUCGAGCGACGUUUUGGGUAGUUGACGAGGUCGGUGAAAGGUGUGGCGCGCCCGCCACUGGAUGUAGUUACCUUCCCCAUUCCAGGUCGACUCCCACAGCUGCACAGCACCUAGCGUUGCCUGAGGAAGCCUAAGUCUACGACUAAGCAGCCAGAGACGCU